ensembl:misc_RNA Metazoa_SRP Metazoan signal recognition particle RNA
GCCGGCAUGGUGGCGCGUGCCUGUAAUCCCAGCUACUCUGGAGGCUGAGGCAGGAGAAUUGCUUGAACCCAGGAGGUGGAGGUUGCAGUGAGCUGAGACUGCAUCACUGCACUUCAGCCUGGGUGACACAGCGGGACUCUGUCUCAA